GCCAGCAUGGUACAGUGGUUUGAAUGUUGGACUACAACUCUAGAGACAGGGUUUGAAUCCCAGCUCAGUUA